AGAGUUUGAUCAUGGCUCAGAGCGAACGCUGGCGGCAGGCCUAACACAUGCAAGUCGAACGAACUCUUCGGAGUUAGUGGCGGACGGGUGAGUAACACGUGGGAACGUGCCUUUAGGUUCGGAAUAACUCAGGGAAACUUGUGCUAAUACCGUAUGUGCCCUUCGGGGGAAAGAUUUGUCGGAGAAGGAUCGGCCCGCGUUGGAUUAGGUAGUUGGUGGGGUAAUGGCCUACCAAGCCGACGAUCCAUAGCUGGUUUGAGAGGAUGAUCAGCCACACUGGGACUGAGACACGGCCCAGACUCCUACGGGAGGCAGCAGUGGGGAAUCUUAGACAAUGGGCGCAAGCCUGAUCUAGCCAUGCCGCGUGAGUGAUGAAGGCCUUAGGGUUGUAAAGCUCUUUCAGCUGGGAAGAUAAUGAUGGUACCAGCAGAAGAAGCCCCGGCUAACUCCGUGCCAGCAGCCGCGGUAAU
rnacentral:rRNA from 1 species